UACGAAGGGGGCUAGCGUUGCUCGGAAUCACUGGGCGUAAAGCGCACGUAGGCGGAUUGCUAAGUCAGGGGUGAAAUCCCGGGGCUCAACCUCGGAACUGCCUUUGAUACUGCGAAUCUCGAGUCCGGAAGAGGUGAGUGGAACUCCGAGUGUAGAGGUGAAAUUCGUAGAUAUUCGGAAGAACACCAGUGGCGAAGGCGGCUCACUGGUCCGGUACUGACGCUGAUGUGCGAAAGCGUGGGGAGCAAACAGG
rnacentral:rRNA from 1 species